GACGAACGCUGGCGGCGUGCCUAAUACAUGCAAGUAGAACGCUGAAGAGAGGAGCUUGCUCUUCUUGGAUGAGUUGCGAACGGGUGAGUAACGCGUAGGUAACCUGCCUUGUAGCGGGGGAUAACUAUUGGAAACGAUAGCUAAUACCGCAUAACAAUGGAUGACACAUGUCAUUUAUUUGAAAGGGGCAAUUGCUCCACUACAAGAUGGACCUGCGUUGUAUUAGCUAGUAGGUGAGGUAACGGCUCACCUAGGCGACGAUACAUAGCCGACCUGAGAGGGUGAUCGGCCACACUGGGACUGAGACACGGCCCAGACUCCUACGGGAGGCAGCAGUAGGGAAUCUUCGGCAAUGGGGGCAACCCUGACCGAGCAACGCCGCGUGAGUGAAGAAGGUUUUCGGAUCGUAAAGCUCUGUUGUAAGUCAAGAACGAGUGUGAGAGUGGAAAAUUCACACUGUGACGGUAGCUUACCAGAAAGGGACGGCUAACUACGUGCCAGCAGCCGCGGUAAUACGUAGGUCCCGAGCGUUGUCCGGAUUUAUUGGGCGUAAAGCGAGCGCAGGCGGUUUGAUAAGUCUGAAGUUAAAGGCUGUGGCUCAACCAUAGCUCGCUUUGGAAACUGUCAAACUUGAGUGCAGAAGGGGAGAGUGGAAUUCCAUGUGUAGCGGUGAAAUGCGUAGAUAUAUGGAGGAACACCGGUGGCGAAAGCGGCUCUCUGGUCUGUAACUGACGCUGAGGCUCGAAAGCGUGGGGAGCGAACAGGAUUAGAUACCCUGGUAGUCCACGCCGUAAACGAUGAGUGCUAGGUGUUGGAUCCUUUCCGGGAUUCAGUGCCGCAGCUAACGCAUUAAGCACUCCGCCUGGGGAGUACGACCGCAAGGUUGAAACUCAAAGGAAUUGACGGGGGCCCGCACAAGCGGUGGAGCAUGUGGUUUAAUUCGAAGCAACGCGAAGAACCUUACCAGGUCUUGACAUCCCGAUGCUAUUUCUAGAGAUAGAAAGUUACUUCGGUACAUCGGUGACAGGUGGUGCAUGGUUGUCGUCAGCUCGUGUCGUGAGAUGUUGGGUUAAGUCCCGCAACGAGCGCAACCCCUAUUGUUAGUUGCCAUCAUUCAGUUGGGCACUCUAGCGAGACUGCCGGUAAUAAACCGGAGGAAGGUGGGGAUGACGUCAAAUCAUCAUGCCCCUUAUGACCUGGGCUACACACGUGCUACAAUGGUUGGUACAACGAGUUGCGAGUCGGUGACGGCAAGCUAAUCUCUUAAAGCCAAUCUCAGUUCGGAUUGUAGGCUGCAACUCGCCUACAUGAAGUCGGAAUCGCUAGUAAUCGCGGAUCAGCACGCCGCGGUGAAUACGUUCCCGGGCCU
rnacentral:rRNA from 1 species